rnacentral:rRNA from 1 species
CAAAGCUGAAACUUAAAGGAAUUGACGGAAGGGCACCACAAGGAGUGGAGCCUGCGGCUUAAUUUGACUCAACACGGGAAAACUCACCCGGCCCGGACACCGGAAGGAUUGACAGAUUCAGAGCUCUUUCUUGAUUCGGUGGGUGGUGGUGCAUGGCCGUUCUUAGUUGGUGGAGCGAUUUGUCUGGUUAAUUCCGAUAACGAGCGAGAUUCCAGCCUGCUAAAUAGGCGACCGCGUCCCCCGAGGCGCGGCGCUCUCUUCUUAGAGGGACUGGCGGCGUCUAGCCGCACGAGGCGGAGCACUAACAGGUCUGUGAUGCCCUUAGAUGUCCGGGGCCGCACGCGCGCUACACUGAAGGAAUCAGCGUGUGCUUUCCCCGUCCGGCAGGAUCGGGUAACCCGAUGAACCUCCUUCGUGAUAGGGACAGGGGCUUGCAAUUGUUCCCCUCGAACGAGGAAUUCCCAGUAGGUGCGAGUCAUAAGCUCGCGUCGAUUACGUCCCUGCCCUUUGUGCACACCGCCCGUCGCUGCUACCGAUCGAACGAUUUAGUGAGGUCUUCGGACUGGCGCUCGGAGCGGCUUCGGUCGCGCCGAGGUGCCGGAAAGAUGACCGAACUUGAUCGUUUAGAGGAAGCAAA